AUGUGCCUACGGGGGGCAGCAGUGGGGAAUAUUGCACAAUGGGGGAACCCUGAUGCAGCGACGCCGCGUGGGUGAAGGAGUAUUUCGGUAUGUAAAGCCCUAUCAGCAGGGAAGAACAAUGACGGUACCUGACUAAGAAGCACCGGCUAAAUACGUGCCAGCAGCCGCGGUAAUACGCAUGGUGCAAGCGUUAUCCGGAUUUACUGGGUGUAAAGGGAGCGCAGGCGGCGCGUUAAGCCUGGUGUGAAAGCCCGCGGCCCAACCGCGGGACUGCAUUGGGAACUGCCAGGCUGGAGUGUCGGAGG
rnacentral:rRNA from 1 species